rnacentral:tRNA from 1 species
CGGGUGUGGUUCAAUGGUAGAACUUCAGCCUUCCAAGCUGGUAACGUGGGUUCGAUUCCCAUCACCC